ACUCCUCCACCCUCUACCUUUUUCGGAAGGCAUUGGGCUGGUAUUUGGGAGCUUGCGGGUCCCUGGCCGAUCCGCUCUCCUUGAAUACAUUAGCGAAGCCCUUGCGGCCUUGGUGUGAUAGUCAUCUACGCCUCGGCUUAGCGAACAUACGGGGACUCGCUUCCAACCGUCUCGCAAGAGACAACUACUACCA
rnacentral:misc_RNA from 1 species